UACGUAGGGGGCUAGCGUUGUCCGGAUUUAUUGGGCGUAAAGAGCGUGUAGGCGGCCAGGUAGGUCUGGUGUGAAAACUCGAGGCUCAACCUCGAGACGUCGGUUGAAACCACCUGGCUAGAGUCCGGAAGAGGAGAGUGGAAUUCCUGGUGUAGCGGUGAAAUGCGCAGAUAUCAGGAAGAACACCCGUGGCGAAGGCGGCUCUCUGGGACGGUACUGACGCUGAGACGCGAAAGCGUGGGGAGCGAACAGG
rnacentral:rRNA from 1 species